CAUGAAGCUGGAAUCGCUAGUAAUCGCGGAUCAGCAUGCCGCGGUGAAUACGUUCCCGGGCCUUGUACACACCGCCCGUCACACCAUGGGAGUCGGUAACACCCGAAGCCGAUAGUCUAACGAAAGAGGACGUCGUCGAAGGUGGGAUUGAUGACUGGGGUGAAGUCGUAACAAGGUAAC
rnacentral:rRNA from 1 species